rnacentral:rRNA from 1 species
AGCUCCAAUAGCGUAUAUUAAAGUUGUUGCAGUUAAAAAGCUCGUAGUUGGACUUGUGGUUGGGGCGGCCGGUUCGGCACUCUGUGCGGAUACUCGGCCUCCCCGGCCAUCCUUGGGUGGAAGCUGUGUGGCAUUAGGUUGUCGCGCAGUGGAUGCCCAUCUUUUACUGUGAAAAAAUUAGAGUGUUCAAAGCAGGCUUAUGCCGUUGAAUAUAUUAGCAUGGAAUAAUGAGAUAGGACCUUGGUACUAUUUUGUUGGUUUGCGCACCGGGGUAAUGAUUAACAGGGACAGUUGGGGGUAUUCGUAUUCCAUUGUCAGAGGUGAAAUUCUUGGAUUUCUGGAAGACGAACUACUGCGAAAGCAUUUACCAAGGAUGUUUUCAUUAAUCAAGAACGAAAGU